AAACCUGAGAAGAGAUGAGAUGGU
rnacentral:siRNA from 1 species